rnacentral:lncRNA from 1 species
GGUGACGGUUCGGUACGUAUCGCUGUUUUGAGGUGACGGUUCGGUACGUAUCGCUGUUUUGAGGUGACGGUUCGGUACGUAUCGCUGUUUUGAGGUGACGGUUCGGUACGUAUUGCUGUAAGCCCAACACAGGGUGCAUCUCACUCCUGGGUAAUGUGAGGGGGCUGUCACUGUUAAAGUAGCUCUCUCUAGCCCUGGAGGUCUAUCCAUCUGUAGUAAGCCCCUCUCUGAAGCCCUGGAGGUCCAUCCAUCUGUAGUAAGCCCCUCUCUGUAGCCCUGAAGCUCCAUCCAUCUGUAGUAAGCCCCUCUCUGUAGCCCUGGAGGUCUAUCCAUCUGUAGUAAUCCCCUCUCUGUAGUCCUGGAGGUCUAUCCAUCUGUAGUAAGUCCCUCUCUAUAGCCCUGGAGGUCCAUCCAUCUGUAGUAAGCCCCUCUCUAUAGCCCUGGAGGUCCAUCCAUCUGUAGUAAGCCCCUCUCUGUAGCCCUGGAGGUCUAUCCAUCUGUAGUAAGCCCCUCUCUGUAGCCCUGGAGGUCUAUCCAUCUGUAGUAAGCCCCUCUCUGUAGUCCUGGAGGUCUAUCCAUCUGUAGUAAGCCCCUCUCUGUAGCCCUGGAGGUCCAUCCAUCUGUAGUAAGCCCAUCACAGGGUUCAUUGGUCAUUUCCAUGUCAACUUCAGCUUCCUUAUAUAGAGCAGGGUACUACUACCUGUUUGCUGGAACGGGCGCGAGAGGGAGAACCCUCUAUUCCUCUCGACUACGGAGAACAGGCGCAUAUCUGCUACUAUAAACAUAUCUAUCGCUCCUGUAGUGUCUUUCGACCGGUCAGAAUCAGCUGCCGAGGGCUGCUUGAGAGCAGAGGGGAGACCAAGUUGUUGUUGUGUGUUUCCGUCUUGCUUCGGCGGCAGUAAUAUACAUGUUUUAAGGUGUUGGCAGCUCCAUAGGCUAUUCUGGUUGAACAACGGAGACAUACUCUCUCUGUCCGUCACCGUUGUAAUCUACCGGGAAGCCUAAAUGUUACCAAAGUGGAGAUUUAAACAAUAGAGAAUUAUCCUGGUUUAUCCUGGUAGGCCCGUCAUUAUAAAUAAGAAUUUGUU